UUACCACUCUGGCCUUUUGGCUUAGAUCAAGUGUAGUAUGACAGAACUAGAUGUAUGUUGAUCGAAUGUUGGCGGAGACUUGCCUUAAGUGGAAAGUGAUAACCGGUCAUGUGACCUUUAUCUUAUCUUAUCUUAAUAGUUUAACCACUAUUAUGAGGGCACCACCCUCAUUCUUUGGUUAUCAAAUUUUUGACGCCCUUGAUCCCUGCGAGCUCUGCUUGCAACUCCAGGGACGUGAUGACCUUGCCACUGCAGUACCGGCUCGUGUCGUCGGGGGAUC
rnacentral:snRNA from 1 species